UACGUUCACAUCACAUUGAAACACCGGUUCCUGUACGAUCACCGAAGUUAAGCAACAUCGAACCUGGUCAGUACGGGUGACCGUUUGGGAAUACCAGGUGGUGCAAU